GCUUCUGGAAGGCAGAGACCAGGCUUGAACUGAGCUGCUCCAAGCCUCAGCGGCUUCCCCUUUCAAGGGUUACAGUCCUCCACUGUGCGUCACAAUGGAGGGCGUUUGCAUGAUUGAGAGAGAGUGCCAAGAAGUUAAACCCUUCAUCCCAGGCAUCUGGGUUUGCAACUACUCUUCCAAACCCACGAGGAAGAAGAGAAACAUUUUCCUAAUUGUCCCCUAAUUUGGAAGUCUGCUUCUCUCUCAGUGGAGUUUGUCCUGCACAUUAUUACUGGUAUUGUGCCUGAUCUGAUCUUUUCCUGUAACCCCCUUCCUCCUUUCAAAUAGGCUUCCUUGGCUCUAUUGGAAUUUUAAAAUUCCAUUACUGGCUCCUUGUCUCUUAAAUGUUGUUCUUCUAAUUAUACAAACAAACUGUCAAAGUUUUGAAACUGUCUGUGGGGUUGGGGCAAGAUAGUGGGAAGGGUAGGCUGCACCAUAUCCAUACCACCAAGCUGAGCAGGAGAGAGGUUCUGACCUGGCUCUGGGACUGGCCUUCAGACUGUGCUCUUCUUCCCAGUGUGAGCAGAAAAGAAUUGCUCUGAAUCGAGUCACUAAGACUUGGGAGAAUGAAGGGGCAGCCAACAGCAGUUGCAGUAGAGGAUUCGGAUCAAGUUAACCAGAGGUCCCCAAUGUUGCAAUGUGAGCCACUCUCCAUCCCACAUGCUGCCCAUUCCCACAGCCUGGCAGCCAUGAUUAAACAAUCGCAGCACACUUUCCCACCAAGCCGGCUACUCCCUCACAAGCCUUCUUGGUCCAUCACUCUGGGCAGCCACUACAGCUUGCACAAAGCUGACAACUGUGAUGAAACCUAUUUCCUAUCCUUGGUGUAAGGGGUAGUAUGCUGGAUUCUGGUUUCAAUCCUGCCAUUGACUCACUAGGCUAUCUGGGGCUUGGGCAAGGCUGUUUACCUCUGUAGGUCUGUUCUCUCAUCUGUUAAAUGAGGUUGUUGGGUAGGUGAUUAAUCGGUUUCGAAGCUCAUGUCAAGGCUAAGUGAGUGGAGUGAUGAUUUGGGUGAGGAGGGCUGGAAAAGAACAGAAAAGGAGGGGAUCCCAGUGGGUCCAUGUCCCUGAGAGGGUCCCUAAGUUAGUAGAAUUCAUGCCAAAGCUGACGGCCACAUUUAGAUAAGCAGAAGGGCAUUCCAAGCAGGUACAAUCAGCAAAGGCGUGGAGGUGAGAGUGUACUGAACAGGGAGAGGGGCCGUAAAUUAACAAUAAUUUCAUAAAUUCCUGUGCUGGAUGCAUGCAUUCACUCCAUGAACCUUCCUGCGUCCUCCGAG
rnacentral:lncRNA from 1 species